AGGAGACACACGUCUCUUGCCCCCAGAUUCCACUCGCCACAGCAAAUCACAUGUCAGGAAAGAUGUGCGUGGCAAGAUGUGGCAGUGCCGGAAUUCAGCCCGUGACUCCAGAAGCCCGCGUGCCAACUUGGAAAUCUGUUGCCCGUCAUCACAGCUCCCUACUCCAGGAACCCGGACCACCACAGAAAAUUCCACAAAGCCCCGGGCUCUGCUAUCUUUUGUCCCCAUCGCAUUUACCUAAUAGAUGAUCCUACCAAUUCC
rnacentral:lncRNA from 1 species